rnacentral:lncRNA from 1 species
ACCAAUUCCGGACACAAUCUCAGCACUGUGGGAGACUGAGGCACCUGCCAAACCUGCACAGAUUCCUACAGCAGCCAGUUCGCUCUGUCUCGAGGCUUCAGAGGAACACGAACUUCUCUGAUGGAAGAGCCUUGUUCUAGAAGGGAGUGAAGCCUAGGUCUUUCCUGAGCACACAGAAGAUCAAGACCACACUCACUGACUUCUCAUAGUCAAGCAAUUUUGGCCAAUUAAAUGUCAGUUGGAAACUCCUGUGUCAGCUUCUCUGUGGCGGUGAGAAGUCCCUGUGUGACAUCCCAACUCUCCCCUCACCUGCGUUGGCAACCAAGAAAGCCUUGUGUUGGAGGUGGGGCCACAAGUUUAAAGCUAAGUUACCACCUCGAGGGCACAUUCCUGGAGAGCUUCCCAGGCCCACAGUGGCACGUGUAUGAGUGACAGAUCCACUUCUUUAUUACCUUUUUGAAGAACAGGAACCUUUGUCUGGAAAUUCCACAAGUAUGCCUUUUGCAAGAUUAAAAGUGCCACAAAGAACAAAAAUGAGCCCAGGACCAGAUGCAUGUUAAAAGCCAUCAGACACGUUAAGUUUCAUCUCCAUUGACCUGCAGAAGGAGUCUCUCACCACAGCCACCACAUCUAUGCAUGUGCUGAGUCACAUGUGAAGCCAGCACAUCUCAGAGUCUCACCGAAAGCUCAUGGUGAGACAAAGAGACUAGAAGGGGUAGAGUCAGCUAACUUCUCUCCUCCCACCACUGAUGAGGUUUUGGUGAAUUCUCUUCCCUUGCUCACUUGCAGAUUCAGCAGAGUUGUCUAUAGUGGCUUAAUUGGAAUUGCUGGACAAGAACAUUGAUUCUGCUUCACUCAGGUAAAGAUGAAAGUAACUGCAACAAUGGAUAUUGCAUUUGAAGGUCAUUGAGUUGUAGUCAGGCAAGGGGAGCAGAUAUUAAAACAUACACGCACAAAAUAAUGGGAUUUUUAUUUAGCAUCUCGCAAGUCUUGAGUAACAUAGUAUUAAUUGACCUUGAGAUUUCAUUCUUUUGUGACUCAUUGCAUUUGCUUUUGUGUUUCAGAUUAAUAUAGAAUAUUUUAAAGAAAGAGUAAUACAGCCAAUUUUAAUCUCUGGGAAGUUUAUGCAAGACAUAAUUUAUUUGUAAACUUUAUAAUAAUAUGUGAAUUAAAGACCCUUGUUAGUUUGGUAUGAAUCUGACAUAAGGGCUAAAAUCACUUUUUCAUUAGCCUUCUCCUGAUCUCAGGUUUACACCUAAGAGAUUCUUCACUCCAAAGUCUUCAUUUCCAAGCACAACCUGCUGGGUGCUGCGCUUUUCUGAGGUCUCCUCCCCAGCUCUGCAUCUAGCAGUGCUCAUGAUGCAAUGAUUUCCUGUCUGACUAUCCCAUUCCUAUCCUUUGCAAAGUUCACAUAGACCCAUUUGAGUACACUUUUAGUAGCAUACCAAGUUUAAGUGCCAAAGUUGUGUUUUAGUUCUUUCAUCCAGAAAGAAAACAUCAGCUGUUUCAAAUUUUAGAGUCCAGCUUGGGCAACAAGAGAAUUGUCAUGUCGUCGAUUGUGUAGUAAGACACAGUGAGUGUCCAGCAAUGUAAAAUCAGUCUAUAAAUGAGAAGAUUAAGACCAAAAGCAUCGGGUUACAAACAUCUCACUAAAGCCCAUUAGCAGGCAGAGAGCUCUCCGCGGAGCUAGAAAAUGAGACUUUUCCCUCCUUUCUGCCCCAUACAUUAGUGCUGAUCUCAGGAGCUCAUUUUUGCACCCUUUGUGGCAGACAACCAUAUAAUCAAAGGGUUCCCAUCACUAAAUCAUUUGAAAAGACAAGUAGAAAUUAGCUUUAGCUAAUUUAACUAGCCUUUGCCCCUCCUCCUGACCCUGAGGGUGAAGCACAUUUUAUCAUUCAUCCUCUGGGGGCUGGCUUAUGCUGGCUCCCUUUCCUUUGGCAGUGAUUUUAAGCAACCAAGUUCUUAUUACAAUUCUCAAAUUUAAAAUUAAGUUCUGAUCACAUCUUCUCAGGGCAUACCUAAGAGGCAGUGUUUAUCCCCAGCCAAAUCAAUUGUUUCCUCAAGUGACUCAUUCCUGAAAAUGUUAUUGUUUCUAAUAACCAGCUCAAAUAUGUAUUUUCAUUAAUCUUUUCUUUUACCUCCAUUUCACACGUGUUGCUGCAUGUCAGGCAGUUUCCACAAGGAUCUGCCAUGACAUCAUUGUGUGAGGUAUGAAAAAAAAAUUUUUUUUUUUCUAAUUUAAGAAUUACUUUUACUCAGAUGGUGGCUGGGCUGGGAAAUGUUCCCCAUUGCCCUGGGAGUUUUAGGCCAAGGCUUGUGUGUGUGUGUGUGUGUGUGUGUGUGUUGGAAGGGUCUCUCAUUGCCUAUUUCUGCUUAUAUAACACACACUGGUUUAGGUAGGUGGAGUCAGAAUGGGAAGAGGAAGUUCCCUAAGUGUUUCUUGCAUGCAAAGGUAAGUGGAGAAUGCCCAUCUGGGCACACAGGGCAAGGAUGCAGUGGAGUGACCUCUCCUUUCCCCUCCAACUCACAUGCUGGAGUUUAAAAACUGUAUCAGGAUGACAGAAACCAAGGGGUAAGACCACGGCUUCCUCUGGGGAUCUUCUAUAAACUGUAAGAACAAACACAGGUAUUUUGUAGUUCUUUAUCACAACGGGUCCUUUGCUGAUGAUUCUAGGUUUUAUGACUGCUGUUUUAUGUCCUACAAAUAGUAACAGGCAUUUCCCUUUGCCCUACACCACAGUAAGCCACUGGCCUAGACAAGAAGCAACUCUGCACUGCUUUUCAAACAUCAUCCUCCCUCUCGACCGCAGGGACUAUUUGGUUUCUAUUCUACUUCUGGCCUUUCAUAUUCCUGAUGGUGCAUUGGAUGAAACCCCGCAGCCAGGCGUGUGAACGUGGUUGAAAAGACCCAUGGAGGACCAGCAACGCUUCCCCACAGCGUGGGAUGGUCCCCUCCUGAGAUGGCCCACUGUCAGCGGGACUGACGCCAAGCACUGCAUCCUGUCUGCUUCUUGAACAGCCCCUUCAUUGUUUGUUCAGCUAUUCUGCUGCAUCUGCAGAUAGCCCUGCCUGAGAAACAGCCUCAAACCAGAAGGAGAGGAUGGCGGCAAGCCUUAGAGAAACAUGGAUGUUAUGUGGACUUCAUUGCCUCAGAGAAAAUUCCUUUUAGGGCUGAAGGCAGAGAAAGUCAGCAUUGAUUUCUGGCCUAAGCUCUUGGGAGUUUAGAGGGUUUGUCAAGGAGCCAAAAGAGGCAAAGGGACUUGAAGAUUUGGACGGCAUGUCUCGGAGAAGUAGCCCCACUCCUAGAGGAGAUGACAUUUGGCUUGGAGGAGAAAGAGAUGACCGUAAAGAAAAUUUGGGAAUGUGUAUUUCAGGGAAAAUGAAAAUGAUCCCAAUAAAGAUCGGAGAUGCAGGAAGGAAGGAAAACAUAGAAAUUGAGCCAGUUGGAGUGUGAGGCUUCAGAAUCGCCUUCCAACUCUCUGUGCACUGCACCAGCUGCUUCCCAUAGACUCCUGGUAAAAUAUAGAGCGGAAGGAAGAAGAGCCACUACCCAUAACAUCAGUGGCUGCUAACUAAGGAGUGUUUUGACAUGCUGGUACAGCCUAUCCUCAGCUUUCCAGAAGGUGGAAUCUUGUGAUAGUGGAAAGAAGUAGAAGAGAUGAAGUACCUAUGACUCCAGGAUUUGCCAGUGAAAGAAGUCAACAAUAUUUUAACUUUGAUCUUAACCAAAAGGCCAAGAAGUGAUGCUAAUAUUUUCAUAUACUACGACAGUUGCAGACACACGUCUAUCAUAGCUGGGUAGUAAUCCAGGCAACUCUGCCACAAGUCAUGGGCUCAGCCACCAGUCCACGAAGUCUCCAGUCACACAUAUUGCUUCGGACUAUUCUCUAUCCCCAGUUGUCAAUUAACUAAAAUAUUAAAUGAGGAUGCCAUGGAGUCCCCCAACUGAUUUCAUAAAUUUGGUGUCACAUUGUAAAUCAAGCAGCUGCAGAGUGGCUGGGACAUCUGUUUGGUUCUGUUAUUCUCUUUACUCCAAAAGGAAACUAACUCCAAAAGAAGAAAACCUGAUGUCUGAGCUGAAUCCUAAUCAUGAAGAUGUUUUUCCACCAUUCCUGUCUGUGUUUUUCUACCAUUCCUGUCUGUGUUUUUCUACCAAAGUGUGCUCUUGAAGUUCUGCAUUUCCCAGGGUGUGGUGAAAGAAGAGAAAAAAAUGUCCAAGAUGACUUCAACGUUCUGACCUUGAGUGGCUUGAGUGAAUGGAGUUACAACUGUGCAGAAAGAUUCAGUAGAGAGUUUUGGAUUUAUGCACCAGUAAGGGGAAAACUGAACAGCUGCAGAGAGCUGUAACUUUUAUAGGAGAUUAAUCUAUAAGAGAAGACAGCAAACUACAGCCUGUGUGUCAAAUCCUACUUGCCACGUCCACUGAAAGCUAACUACACUGGAACACUCUCAUUUCUGCAAAGAAAAAUAUCAUAUCCCAGGAUGAAAAGGAGGAGGAAGAGGAAAGGCUAACUUAACAAGAAGCUCUUUGACAUUCUUGAAUUAGACACCCAACGUAGUCCACGCAGUACGGAGGAUGACUUCAGAAGUGCAAUUCUGAUAUGGACUUUGUCUCCCUAAGGCUUUCAGUUCCUCAUAUUUAGGAUAAAACAGAAGUUUAUGUAAAGCCAAGGGAGAGGGUCACCGGGAGAGGGAAGGAGGAACAGCAGAAGGAGAGGUCCACACAUGAAAAUACUUGGAAGCGCCCCAGGGCCUAUCAGAUGCAGGUCUUGGCGGAAAUUACCAAACAUACUUUAGACAGGCUGCUGUGUUGCUGAGUGUGGACUGGCCUCAGGGCCUGCUGAUCAAAGCAAAAGGAAGCAGUGAAAAAAACAUCACCAUGUCUUCUUAGAGUCUAAUCUGGGGGCAAGAGGCCAGCAUGCACAGUUGGUGCUGAUUUUCUUGGGCGGAUAGAGGAAAGGUGUAGGCGUGGCCAACAUUUGAGCAGCAUGUGGUUCCUCUCACACGCCAUGCUGUUUCCGGCCUCCUUGCAUUUUACUCAUGCCAUCCUCCUGGUCACUUCUUUGAGAUAUUAAGUGCAUUCUUUAGGACUCAGACUCAGCUCAAGGGUCAGUGCAUCCAUGAAGCCUUACCUGGAUCCCAGAGGGAGCUCUGUGCUCCUCCUUUGUCUCCUAUAGGACCCAGUACAUGCGUCCAGUAUUAUCCAUACACACUGAAAUGAUCUAGCAUGUGUCUUCCCAUAGGAUUUCAAAUUCUUAGAAUAUAGGAGUGAUGCCUUCUUCCUACUUAUAUUUCCAGUGUUAACAGUGCCUGUCAAUUGACUUGAAGAUAACUAAAAGUCUGGUUGUUAAGGGCUGCUUCCCACCUCCAAAUACUUCCCUGGAAGUCAUUGUAUGGGCACUGACAUUGGUAGGUCUCCACUGGCUUGUAGAUGCUUCUGAUUAUAAGGUAGUCUCAGAUGCCUUCAGAAAGUUCUAAGACUGUAUAAAACAUUUCCUUCACAACCAAUAACUGUGUAUUAUUGUUCGUGUAAUUCCAGAAGUUAUCCUUUUGAUAGAGAGCAAUUACUUUAUUGAUUGAGAGUUAGCUAAUUAUGUAAUAAAGGUAAAGAUUUGCAUAGAGAA